rnacentral:rRNA from 1 species
GAUGAACGCUGGCGGCGUGCUUAACACAUGCAAGUCGAACGAACCUUCGGGUUAGUGGCGGACAGGUGAGUAACGCGUGAGAAUCUGCCCUCAGGAGGGGGAUAACGGCUGGAAACGGCCGCUAAUACCCCAUAUGCCGAGAGGUGAAAUGAAUUUCGCCUGAGGAUGAGCUCGCGUCUGAUUAGCUAGUUGGUGUGGUAAAGGCUCACCAAGGCAUCGAUCAGUAGCUGGUCUGAGAGGAUGAUCAGCCACACUGGGACUGAGACACGGCCCAGACUCCUACGGGAGGCAGCAGUGGGGAAUUUUCCGCAAUGGGCGCAAGCCUGACGGAGCAACGCCGCGUGAGGGAUGAAGGCCUCUGGGCUGUAAACCUCUUUUAUCAAGGAAGAAGAUCUGACGGUACUGA